CACGUUUGGUGAAUGCCAUUGCUUUUAUUUUGCUAGUACUCACCAUUUUCUUCAUCCCCGAAACUGAAAGUGUUCGGUCACCGAGGAGACUGGAGUUAGCGAGCUCGGUGGAAGAAAUCGAGAAGGGUUCAUCAUUUCUGGGGAUAAAGGAUAAUUCUGGACCCAGUACGAGUGGUCCAGGACAUAGAGCUAGUGAUGCACCGAGUCAGGAUAUACACCAUUAGCCUGUUGAACAAAGUUAUAAAUUCUCCAUCGUCCUCUUCGUUUUCUUUUUGUUUAGUUUCAUAUUUUUGAUAUCGGGUUUUUUGAGUUAGGUUUUUGAAUAAAUUUCGAGUCGAAUCAAAU
rnacentral:lncRNA from 1 species